GACGGGGGGGUCCAAGCGUUGUUCGGAAUCAUUGGGCGUAAAGCGUGUGCAGGUGGCUUUGUAAGUUAGAUGUGAAAGCCUCGGGCUUAACCCGAGAAGUGCAUUUAAAACUACAGAGCUUGAGUAAGGAAGAGGGUCGUGGAAUUCCAGGUGUAGUGGUGAAAUACGUAGAUAUCUGGAGGAACACCGGUGGCGAAGGCGGCGGACCUGGUCCUAUACUGACACUCAUACACGAAAGCGUGGGAUCGAACAAGG
rnacentral:rRNA from 1 species